UACGUAGGGUGCAAGCGUUAAUCGGAAUUACUGGGCGUAAAGCGUGCGCAGGCGGUUUUGUAAGUCUGUCGUGAAAGCCCCGGGCUUAACCUGGGGAUUGCGCCUGAUACUGCCAGACUUGAGUACUGUAGAGGAAAGUGGAAUUUCCGGUGUAGCAGUGAAAUGCGUAGAUAUCGGAAGGAACACCAGUGGCGAAGGCGACUUUCUGGACAGAUACUGACACUGAGGCACGAAAGCAUGGGGAGCAAACAGG
rnacentral:rRNA from 1 species